rnacentral:rRNA from 1 species
UGGGGAAUUUUGGACAAUGGGCGCAAGCCUGAUCCAGCCAUGCCGCGUGCGGGAAGAAGGCCUUCGGGUUGUAAACCGCUUUUGUCAGGGAAGAAAUCUUCUGAGUUAAUACCUCGGGAGGAUGACGGUACCUGAAGAAUAAGCACCGGCUAACUACGUGCCAGCAGCCGCGGUAAUACGUAGGGUGCAAGCGUUAAUCGGAAUUACUGGGCGUAAAGCGUGCGCAGGCGGUUUUGUAAGACAGAAGUGAAAUCCCCGGGCUCAACCUGGGAACUGCCUUUGUGACUGCAAGGCUUGAGUGCGGCAGAGGGGGGAUGGAAUUCCGCGUGUAGCAGUGAAAUGCGUAGAUAUGCGGAGGAACACCGAUGGCGAAGGCAAUCCCCCUGGGCCUGCACUGACGCUCAUGCACGAAAGCGUGGGGAGCAAACAGGAUUAGAUAGCCCUGGUAGUCCACGCCCUAAACGAUGUCAACUGGUUGUUGGGAAGGUUCCUUCUCAGUAACGUAGCUAACGCGUGAAGUUGA